GCAUCCCUGUGGCUGUGGUGUAGGCUGGCAGCUACAGCUCUGAUUAGAACCCUAGCCUGGAAACCUCCAUAUGCCACGGAUGUGGCCCUGGGGGGGAAGAAAAGGCUAAGGAAAUAGCCUUGCUUCUCCUGGUGGCUGGCCCACUCCCCCCCCCCCGCCGCCAGCCUUAGUCCCUAGACCUGGGUGUCUAGGGGUCACGGCAGUCGUCCGGUCCCCUCGGCCAGUGUUUGCUAAGUGCUUGCACCCCCGUGGCCACCAGCUGGGUUUGGGCGCCUGGGGUGGGAGGAGUGGGGUGAGCGGGGUUCCCGCUCAGCGGGGACAGAGAGCACAGAGCGUGGAGCCAGGGGACAAAGAAAAACACCCAUCGUGUCACCCGCUGCCCUCAGCUCUGCUCAGGGCUCUGAUGUGGCGGGCAGGUGGCUUAGUGCCUGUGCUGGGCACAGGGUUCAGUCUGGGGCGCAGGAGAAGGUGACAGCAUCCUUGUCCUCAGGGGCUCAGUCCAGGGACCGAGGCCCUCCUUGACCAAGCUGUCCAGGCCGCCCUCAGCUUUCCAGCUAGGCCCUGACUUCCGGGCUCUGCAGUGUCCCGUCUUAGCACGAGUCCUGCCAGGUUGGUUUGGCUCGAGUCCCCCAUCUUCCCAUCUAAUUGUGUUCCUCCUGCCCCAUCCCAGCUGGCAGUGCCCUGUCUGCCUGCAGCAAGUGUGCUGCUGGCUCGGUUUACCCACCCCCCGGCUUCCUCGAGUCCUUUUCCAGCCUCUGACCCCACCUGCUCCUUGGCUGUGGGGCCUCACAUGCUUCUGGGUACGUGGAGUUGAACUUGAGUCUUUGCCGCUGCCUUUCUUCUCCCAAUUUACUCCUGAGUGGAGCCAGUUUUUAUCACUGAAACCACCAUCCAGCUCAGGUUUUUCUCUGACACGAGAGGCGAGCGGCAGACUGGGGUGCAUGUGAUUUAACCCUAAGAAGAAUCAAAAGAGGAAUAAAGCAUCGAGGGUUUCGAAAGAGGUGGAAGCCCGGCCAAGAGGCAAGUGAUGACACUGAAGAGGCCUGGGAGAUGGCGCUGAAAGGACGAGGUGUGUGAUUUGCAAAUAUUUGCCCCAAUUUGAGGCUCUUUUUUUUUAAAUUAUUCUUUUAACAAGUUCUUCCACAGAGUAACAGUCUUCAACAUUGUGCUGAAGUCUAGUCUAGUAACCUUUUUCCUUUAUGGAUUACGCUUUUGGUGCCGUAGCUACAGCCCAGCAACCCCACCCCAAGUCUGAAAGGUGUUCUCCCCCUUCUCAGUUCGGACCUUGCAAGCCCACGUCUUCAUUCAGGCCUGUGACCCUGCGAGUUAAUUUCAGGGGCCAGCAUCUCAGUUACCAAGCAUCCUGUGUGGGAAAGAUGACCCUUUGAAAGCUGCUACGACUCUGUCAAAACUCAGCUGGGGCUGUUCGUGUGAGACUGUCGGACUCCGUUCUUUUCUGUGGUCCGUGUGCACGUGGCUUUCCUCUUGGUAACGCUGCACCUGCCGAAGCCACCUGUUAGAUCCGGGACCUUUUUUUUAAACUGUUGAAUACUUGGGAUUUUCCGGGUGGACAGUGGUUGUGUUCCGCUUGAAACCAAGACAGUUUUCUUUCUUCCUCGCCGUUCCGGGGGCCCUUCAUCUCUGUCUCUCACCGCACGCAGGGGAGGUGAGGACCACAGCACCCUUCCGACGGGAGAGGUGGAAGGCGACGCGCUUUCUUUCUGGCUGCCCUCGGGCAGUGAGCCCCUCAGGCUUUGACCAUUAAGUGGGAUUGUGCAGCUGCCUUAUAUCAGGUUGAGAAGGUUCCCCCCCCUUUUUUUUCCCUCUCUUUUUAGGACCGCACCUGUAGUAUAUGGAAGUUCCCAGGCUCGGAUGUGAAUCAGAGCUGCAGCUGCCGGCCUACAGCACAGCCACGGCAAUGCCGGAUCCUUAACCCACUGACUGAGGCCGGGGAGCGAACCCUCAUCCUCAGGGACACCAUGUCGGAUCCUCAGCCUGCUGAGCCGCAGCGGGAGCUCCGAGAGCGCCCUAUCCCUCUUUGCGACAGGCUUUUUAAACUUGGGAAUGGAUGUUGAAUUGUCUUGAAUCCUUUUCUGUGCCAAUAGAUACGAUUAUGCAGGUUUUCUUCUGGGGUCUGUUCGUGUGAUGAUCCGCCUUGAUUGGUUUUUAAAUGUCGACCGGCCUUACUAGGGAGAAGAGAGCCUCUUGCUCAUGAUUCCUUAUCUUUUGGAAACGCGGCUGAUUUCGCUUGCCGGCACUGUGUUGAGCACCUGACCUCUCUCUUCACCUGCGCUGUCAGGCCGCUGUUUCCUCUGGCUGUCCGUCUCUGGCUGUGCUGGCCUCUGAGCAGCGCCGGCCUCAUGCCGCGCGUCGCAAGUGCUUUUCUUUCCGGGAAGCGGCUGUGGAGAGUCGGGCUCGUCUUUUCUAAAGGAGGUCCCGUCCUCUCGCGGGGGUCCUGAGACUGAGGCUGCGCUGGGGACAGAGCCGAGGUAACGCCCAAGCAGCUCCCCCCCGUGCUGGCCUCGGCCGCCCUGCAGGGUCCCCAGCUACAGCUGCCGUGUCUGUCCCGGCUCCUGGCUGCGACCAGGAGGACGGGGGCCCCUCCCGCUCGGCGGCACCGGAAGCCGUUUGUUGUCUCUUUGGGGAGAAGAGAGGAAGGAGGGGGUCGGGGCAGGAGGGCCCUUUCGAAGGGGGAGGGCCAGGCCGUUCUUUUUCUUGCAAGACUCUGCGAAGCGCGUCGCCGCUGCACGGAGCUGGUGUGCAGACGCCAGACGAGACCUCGGACCUGCUGUUCUGGGUUCCGGGACCUCGAGUGCUCGCGACUCGGUGACUCUGGGCCUCUUGCGGUCCGCGGUGGCCACAUGAUGGGCCAGAGGCACGCGCAGCCCUGCGCUGUGUCCCCGCCUCGCUCGAACCCCUGCCGUCGGGCUGUGCUCAUUCGGGCCGUUCACAGAGGGUCCGGGCCAUCUGGUCCAGCCACACGUGGAGGAACCUGGGUCCCGAGUCCCUGGGCCACGUCGGCCAGUGGCACCAGCACAAGAGUGGUGUCACCGGGGAAGACGCUGAGCUGUCUGUCGCGCAGCCAGACUUUAUUCCCCAAAGAGCCAACCUUAAGGGGCCCCCAGAACCUUUCUCUGGAUGGGCCACGAGGGGAACGUGGAACUUUCCACGAGGGACUUUCCAUCUCGUCUCCGUGUGACCCUCGCACUCGGCGUAUCAAGCUGACCCACUCGUGUUACUUUUAUUUUCUGCACAGCAGAGUUGAAAGUGAUACUGAGGGACUCUUUGGGAGAGUUUGACCUCUUGGAGGCAAGAGUCGCAAGGACAGGGGAAUAUGAUGAGGAUAAUUUUGGCACCGCCGAGGACACAGGGAACAUGUUACCUGCGCUGUAACUUGGGCAGAACGUGAGGGCUGUUUUCGCAGCCGAGACCCGCAGGUGAGGAAGAGGCGCCGUGCUGUCUGCCGACCGCCCGCUCCCGGGUCUUCCCGCGGUGCCCUUGCAGUGCCCUUGCACCGUUCGCGGGCACCGCGCCUGCGACAUUGGGGCCCAGCGCAGGGCCCGAGAAGCGGAUCUGCUUGGGGAGAGCUCGCUGGGCCGACAGGACUUCCUAGCACCGGGUCCCAGGAAGCGGCGGGCACGCCUGUCCCUGCCGCUCGGUGGAUGUGGUUUAAUUAAGCGAGGAGGGUGCCGCGGGAGACAGCGCUGCCCGCGGUUUGAUUUGUGAGAUGGUUAAAGCGUUUGGAAGCUCCUCGAAGAAAGCAGGUGGUGAGGGUGAAGGGCGGUCCCAUCAGAAGCAGCCCCGCACACACCUGGCCCAGGUCGAGGCGUUCCUGGGAAUCAGCUGCCUCUUCCCCGACCCGGGGGCGAGGGGCCGCGGCUGCAGGGGGCUGCGGCUCCAGGGAGCGCCCUCGGUCCCAGCGACCCCCAAGUCCCUGGGCCUUCAUUCUGUCUCCCUCUCGGGGCCCAGUCAGACCUACGGGAUCAGAACCUCUGGGGUCCCGCCUUCUUAGUUUUCAGGCUUCAAUUUUAAUGUAGUUGUGGGUUCACACUGAUCCUGAGAACCGAGGCGGAGACCCGUGUAGGCCUUACCCGCUCCCUUAGUAGCGGCGCCUUGCAGAACUGGAGUCAAGCGGACGCCCAGGGCACGGGGUUCGAACCGCAUCCCGUUCUGACGCCCUGCUUCUCUUUGUGCUCCUCUGUGCACACGUGUAUGGAAUUACACACCUCGGUGCGUUGUCGCAUGUGUGCCCAGCCACCGCCCAGAUGUGGACAUGCCCGUCGCCAGCUCAGCGCCGCCGGGGACGCCUGAGUGUUUGCUGAACGGACCUUCAGCGUCCGCUGGUGCCGAACCUGUGUGACAGGGAAGCGCUGGUCAGAUCCUCGAGCCCCGGGAGAAGCCAACGGCCACAUGGAACGAACCGUCAGCCUCUGCUUUCCCCGGAGCUCGGAGAAGUGCACGGAGGGGGCGUCUGAAGGUUACUCGGCUGUUGUUCUAAUGGAACAGAGAAGCAUGGACUCGGGCUUUAAAAAUAUGCGGCUCACAUGACAGCCAGAAAGGAAAGGAGGAAAAUUACCAGCGAGGGAGAGACGUGGGACCCGGCGGAUCCUGCAGGGCUCAGCGUUUUCCGAGUCAGUGCUCCUAGGAGACGGCGGGCUUUGGGGCUUCAGGUUGCAUUUCUUUGCUGCUGUGGCGCUGACCGGCGUGUGCCAGAAGGCGCAGCAGUUGGAGGGAAGGCAGGGCUGCUGCUGAGAACAGCCUUAUCGAGAUGUGGUUUGCAUCCCGGAAACUCACCUGCGUCGAGUGCAUGAAUCCUGCUGUUGACAGAGUUGCAGGAGCAACCCAGCCUGAUGCUGGACUUUCCACCACCCGGAAAAGGAGCAGCAGGCCGUUGCCACUCACUCCCCUGCGACCCCAGCCCUGGGCCGUCCCUCAUCUACUUUUUCUCUGUAUAUGUGCCUUCUUGUUUGUUCGACAUUCAGCAUAAAUGCAAUUUCACAACCUUCCCCUUUUCUGUCUGGCUUCCUUGACGUUGCAUAACACUUUGAAGGGUCACCCGUGUCGCGGCGCGUGGCAGGAGGUUCUUUUUAUUACCGGACAGCAUUCGAUUACGUGAGCGGACCGUACGGGUGGACUCAGAGGUACCGCGCGUUUCGUUCCAGAGCCCCGUGUAGUGAGUAGUGCGAGAAGCUGCGUCAUAAGCCAACCGCGUUGUUGCCCAGUGCGUGUAGACGUCAGGGGUACGCGGGGCUGUGUUACGUCUGAAGAUCCAAGUACAGGCCGUCAUUUAAAACACUUGAUCGUUAAAAAUGCCAUCCCCGGAGUCUUCAGGGAGUCGUAAUCCCGUGGCAGUAGGAACGUCAAAGGUGUGAUUCCCGGGUCACUGUGACAAACGCGGUAAUGACUAGAAGCGUGAAAGACCGUGAGAAUUACCAAAACGUCGCAUAGAGACACAAAGCGAGCAAACAGAUGCUAUUGGAAAGGUGGUGCCCAUAGGCUUGCCUGAUGCAGGGCUCCACAAACCUUUAAUUUGUUAAACAAAACAAAAACCACCCAACCCUCCCCCCCAAAAUGCAGUAUCUGUGAAGCGCAGUAAAAGGAGGUGUGUCUGUAUUGCGUCUGUCAGUCCACCGCCUGAGGGAUGGAUGGAUCCAGGGGUGAGCUCAUGGAUACUUGAGUUGUUUCCACUCUGGGGACCUUGUGGAAAAAGCUGCCACCAGCACGGUGUCCCGGUGUUCGCGAGGCCCUAGGCUCCCUUUCUCCCGGGUUCCGCGUAGGCGAGGAGUGGCUGAGUCACACGGGGACCAGGACCUGGUAGCUUAAGAAGCAGCAAAACAUUUUCCGAAGCGGCCGCCCCACUUACAUUCCCAUCAGCCGCGUGCACGGGUCCAGUCUCCCGCAUCCUCGCCAGAAAGGCGAGCUUUCUGCGAGCUCGGGCGACAGCCGUCGUAGUGGGUGAGCAGUGGUGUCUCUGGCGGCGGCGGCUGAGCCUUCGCCUUAUUGGCCUCGUCUGCCUCCCUGGGUCAGAUUUCCGUGUUCGAUUCUCCGUGAACAGGGCGCCCUUCACCCCCCACUGCGCGCUGCCAGCACUUCUCAGCCGGCGGGGGGCGGGGGGGGGGCUCUCUACAGGGCCUCUCCCCGCCCGACACAUCCUGGGCCCGGCACAUGGCUCCCUCUCCCGAGGCCAGGAGAGUUCUUGCCGAUUUUGUGCAGGAGGAAAGUAAAGCUUGUCCAGUUUGCUCUGUGGACGGGGCGGGGGCGCUGGGACCCACGUUGUCCUCUUGGCUUCGUGUCCGAGGCCGCCGAGAGCAAGCGUCCAGAUGGCAGGAGUGCUUUCCUCUGCGGGUCCGCUUCUGAGAACUGGCCUUCUCUUCCUUUUUGGGAUUUUAGUCCUGCAGUACAAUGUACCUGCUACAGAACUUGACCAUUUUUUAAAAAAUUAA